GACGAGGGAUCCUAGCGUUGUUCGGAAUCAUUGGGCGUAAAGAGGGCGUAGGUGGCCUUGUAAGUCAGGUGUGAAAGCCCUGGGCUCAACCCAGGAAGCGCAUUUGAUACUGCUUGGCUUGAGUGUGGGAGAGAUUAGUGGAAUUCCUGGUGUAGUGGUGAAAUACGUAGAUAUCAGGAGGAACACCGGUGGCGAAAGCGGCUAAUUGGCCUGACACUGACACUGAAGCCCGAAAGCGUGGGGAUCAAACAGG
rnacentral:misc_RNA from 1 species